GACGAACGCUGGCGGCGUGCUUAACACAUGCAAGUCGAGCGGUAAGGCCCUUUCGGGGGUACACGAGCGGCGAACGGGUGGGUAACACGUGGGUGACCUGCCCUCAGCUCUGGGAUAAGCCCGGGAAACUGGGUCUAAUACCGGAUAUGACUCCAUGACGCAUGUUGUGGGGUGGAAAGCCUUGUGCGGCUGGAGAUGGGCCCGCGGCCUAUCAGCUUGUUGGUGGGGUGAUGGCCACCAAGGCGACGACGGGUAGCCGGCCUGAGAGGGCGACCGGCCACACUGGGACUGAGACACGGCCCACGACUCCUACGGGAGGCAGCAGUGGGGAAUCUUGCGCAAUGGGCGGAAAGACCUGACGCAGCGACGCCGCGUGAGGGAUGACGGCC
rnacentral:rRNA from 1 species